rnacentral:tRNA from 1 species
UGAGUGCCUAGUUUAAUUAAAAUGUCUGAUUUGCAUUCAGGAGAUGUAGAAAGGUUCUAUAGGUUUUA